rnacentral:rRNA from 1 species
UACGUAGGGGGCUAGCGUUGUCCGGAAUCAUUGGGCGUAAAGCGCGCGUAGGCGGCCCGGUAAGUCCGCUGUGAAAGUCAAAGGCUCAACCUUUGAAUGUCAGCGGAUACUGCCGGGCUAGAGUCCGGAAGAGGCGAGUGGAACUCCUGGUGUAGCGGUGAAAUGCGCAGAUAUCAGGAGGAACACCAAUGGCGAAGGCAGCACUCUGGGACGUGACUGACGCUGAGACGCGAAAGCGUGGGGAGCAAACAGG